rnacentral:lncRNA from 1 species
UCGAAGGUCAUCCGCUUCCCUUUGCUCUUUCUCCAGCAGCUUCCUCUCACGGUGUAGUUCAUUCUCCAACUCUAUCACCUUGAGUGUCAGCUCAUAGGUCAACUCCACUUGUGCUUGAAGCUUUGGUUGUGAAGCAUCUGCAACUUCUAUGGCCCAAGUCAUCUUCUCUGGUACAAAGCGAGGAUAGUGGUAUGUUGCAUUAUACUGAACAUCCUCAAAGCGUCUACCACGGUAAAAGACCAAGGCCUGGUAAGCUGCAUCCGCCAUGCUCUCCUUCAUCGUGUCCCGGCUGAUUCGAGCGAUUUGUUUUGAUUCCACCUUUCGAAUCCCC